CCUGGUGUCUGUAGCGACGCGGAACCACCUCUUCCCAUUCCGAACAGAGAAGUGAAACGCAUCAGCGCCGAAGAUACUUGGACCGCAGGGUCCUGGGAAAAUAGGUCGACGCUAGGA
rnacentral:rRNA from 1 species